rnacentral:rRNA from 1 species
ACACGUAGGGGCCUGACGUUGUUCGGAAUCAUUGGGCGUAAAGGGCGCGCAGGCGGCCGUCCAAGUCCGGUGUUAAAUGGUCGGGCUCAACCCGAUCAUGCGCUGGAAACUGGGCGGCUUGAGUCCCGUAGGGGAUGCCGGAAUUCCAGGUGUAGGGGUGAAAUCUGUAGAUAUCUGGAAGAACACCGAUGGCGAAGGCAGGCAUCUGGCCGGAGACUGACGCUGAGGCGCGAAGGCGCGGGGAGCGAACAGGUUUAGAUACCCUGGUAGUCCGCGCAGUAAACGAUGCGCACCAGGUGUCGGGCGGCAGCGCCCGGUACCGGAGCAAACGCGAUGAGUGCGCCGCCUGGGGAGUAUGCCCGCAAGGGUGAAACUUAAAGGAAUUGACGGGG